UGGGAACAAGCUAUUUAAGCAUUUCAUUUACACUGAAAAGAUACUUGUUAUAUUACAAGGUUCUUAAUUU
rnacentral:tRNA from 1 species